rnacentral:rRNA from 1 species
CAUGUAGGCGGUUCCGUAAGUCGGAUGUGAAAGCCCUCGGCUUAACCGAGGAAGUGCAUUCGAUACUGCAGAACUAGAGUACCGGAGAGGGUCGUGGAAUUCCUGGUGUAGAGGUGAAAUUCGUAGAUAUCAGGAGGAACACCGGCGGCGAAGGCGGCGACCUGGACGGAUACUGACGCUCAGAUGCGAAAGCGUGGGUAGCAAACAGGAUUAGAUACCCUGGUAGUCCACGCUGUAAACGAUGGGUACUAGGUGUCGCGGGUAUUGACCCCUGCGGUGCCGAAGCUAACGCAUUAAGUACCCCGCCUGGGGACUACGGCCGCAAGGCUAAA